rnacentral:rRNA from 1 species
UACGUAGGGUGCAAGCGUUAAUCGGAAUUACUGGGCGUAAAGGGCGCGUAGGCGGGUCGUUUAGUUAGAGGUGAAAGCCCAGGGCUCAACCCUGGAAUUGCCUUUAAUACUGGCGGCCUUGAGUAUGGCAGAGGUGUGUGGAACUCCGAGUGUAGAGGUGAAAUUCGUAGAUAUUCGGAAGAACACCGGUGGCGAAGGCGGCGACCUGGUCCGUAACUGACGCUGAGGCGCGAAAGCGUGGGGAGCAAACAGG